rnacentral:rRNA from 1 species
UACGUAGGGGGCAAGCGUUGUCCGGAAUCAUUGGGCGUAAAGAGCGCGCAGGCGGUCGUUCAAGUCGCGUGUGAAAGCCCCCGGCUCAACUGGGAGGGUCACGCGAUACUGAUCGACUCGAAGGCAGGAGAGGGUAGUGGAAUUCCCGGUGUAGUGGUGAAAUGCGUAGAUAUCGGGAGGAACACCAGUGGCGAAGGCGACUACCUGGCCUGUUUCUUGACGCUGAGGCGCGAAAGCUAGGGGAGCAAACGGG